AUCCCGGAAACAAUGAUGUGAUUUCCAAGCACAUAGCUGAUGAUUCCAUGUGGAAUUUUACCACUGAGUUUCCUGGGC
rnacentral:snoRNA from 7 species